rnacentral:rRNA from 1 species
AGUGAACGCUGGCGGUAGGCCUGACACAUGCAAGUCGAACGGCAGCACAGUAAGAGCUUGCUCUUACGGGUGGCGAGUGGCGGACGGGUGAGGAAUACAUCGGAAUCUACUUUUUCGUGGGGGAUAACGUAGGGAAACUUACGCUAAUACCGCAUACGACCUACGGGUGAAAGCAGGGGAUCUUCGGACCUUGCGCGAUUGAAUGAGCCGAUGUCGGAUUAGCUAGUUGGCGGGGUAAAGGCCCACCAAGGCGACGAUCCGUGGCUGGUCUGAGAGGAUGAUCAGCCACACUGGAACUGAGACACGGUCCAGACUCCUACGGGAGGCAGCAGUGGGGAAUAUUGGACAAUGGGCGCAAGCCUGAUCCAGCCAUACCGCGUGGGUGAAGAAGGCCUUCGGGUUGUAGAGCCCUUUUGUUGGGAAAGAAAAGCAGCAGGUUAAUACCCCGCUGUUCUGACGGUACCCAAAGAAUAAGCACCGGCUAACUUCGUG